AGCUUUGCGCAGUGGCAGUAUCGUAGCCAAUGAGGUUUAUCUGAGACGCGAUUAUUGCUAUAUUG
rnacentral:snRNA from 1 species